UUUAUUGUUCGUUGGCAUUAGGGAUGUAACAAUAAAGUGUUGAAAAAUAUGAAGGACUUUAACCGCAUGUGGCGCUCUCGUUUUCACUCAACACUCUCACAAUCGCACCCGGAAACAAACCCCCACCUCUGGAAUCAAACCCCGCCUACUUCUCUGCGCGCAAAAUUCAUUUGUGCAAAAGACGGGUUAGUGUGAGGAGCUCCUCAAAACUCCGGAGCUUUAAGGAAGAACGUACAGAAAGCAAAAAGAACUUACAGCGGGAGCAUGUAAGACCCUCGCCGUCUUUUUCGAUGAUGUUGUCCGUGAGCAAGCCUUCGUUGUCGGGAGUCUUUGCCGGGAAAAAAGCCUCUUCCUCGGGACUCUGUGGCGUAAGAAAAGCCUCCUUUCCACCCGGAGCAAAAAGGGAACAUUUGCCGGCUGCGGGACUCGUGGGACUGGAACCCUGAGAGCUGAAACAAGCAAAUAUCUCCUGUCUGAUAUUUGAAAACAUAUCCAAAAGAUCCAACCAUUCCGUAAGCAUCCAAGCACCAUUUCUCACGCAAAGACUCGGUUGGAGGAAUUUGAGUGCGUUUAAAAAAAACCUCUACUUUUGCGAGGAGCG